UACGGAGGGUGCAAGCGUUAUCCGGAUUUACUGGGCUUAAAGGGUGUGUAGGCGGGCUUUUAAGUCAGUGGUGAAAUCUCCGGGCUCAACCUGGAAACUGCCAUUGAUACUAUUAGUCUUGAAUUCUGUUGAGGUAGGCGGAAUAAGUCAUGUAGCGGUGAAAUGCUUAGAUAUGACUUAGAACACCAAUUGCGAAGGCAGCUUACUAAACAGAUAUUGACGCUGAGGCACGAAAGCGUGGGGAUCAAACAGG
rnacentral:rRNA from 1 species